AGUGACGGUUAACGGGGGAUUAGGGUUCGAUUCCGGAGAGGGAGCCUGAGAAACGGCUACCACAUCUAAGGAAGGCAGCAGGCGCGCAAAUUACCCAAUUCUAACAGCAUAAGAGAGGUAGUGACAAGAAAUAACAAUACAAGGUAAUUAAAUUGCUUUGUAAUUGGAAUGAUAGAAAUUUAAACACUUUUUAAAGUAUCAAUUGGAGGGCAAGUCUGGUGCCAGCAGCCGCGGUAAUUCCAGCUCCAAUAGCGUAUAUUAAAAUUGUUGCAGUUAAAAAGCUCGUAGUUGAAUUUCUGUUAAAAAUAACCGGUCUGCUUUUAUUAAAAGUGGUAUCUUGGUGUGUUUUUAGCAAUAAUGUCCUUUGAAAUGUUUUUUACUUUAUUGUAAUAAGUCAUUAUUUUGAGGAUUUUUACUUUGAGAAAAUUAGAGUGUUUCUAGCAGGCUUACGCUUUUGAAUACUGCAGCAUGGAAUAAUAAGAUAGGAUUUUAGUUCUACAUUAUUGGUUUUAAGAACUAAAUUAAUGAUUGAUAGGGAUAGUUGGGGGCAUUUGUAUUUAACUGUCAGAGGUGAAAUUCUUAGAUUU
rnacentral:rRNA from 1 species